UGGGCAACCUGCCCCAGACACAGGGAUAACCCCGGGAAAACCGGGGCUAAUACCGGAUACUCCGGUCGAACCGCAUGGCUCGAUCGGGAAAGCUCCGACGGUCUGGGAUGGGCCCGCGGCCUAUCAGCUUGUUGGUGAGGUUACGGCUCACCAAGGCGUCGACGGGUAGCCGGCCUGAGAGGGUGUCCGGCCACACUGGGACUGAGAUACGGCCCAGACUCCUACGGGAG
rnacentral:rRNA from 1 species